rnacentral:rRNA from 1 species
GGGGAAUAUUGGACAAUGGGGGAAACCCUGAUCCAGCGACGCCGCGUGACUGAAGAAGUAUUUCGGUAUGUAAAGGUCUAUCAGCAGGGAAGAAAAUGACGGUACCUGACUAAGAAGCCCCGGCUAACUACGUGCCAGCAGCCGCGGUAAUACGUAGGGGGCAAGCGUUAUCCGGAUUUACUGGGUGUAAAGGGAGCGUAGACGGCGAUGCAAGUCUGGAGUGAAAGCCCGGGGCUCAACCCCGGGACUGCUUUGGAAACUGUGUUGCUAGAGUGCAGGAGAGGUAAGUGGAAUUCCUAGUGUAGCGGUGAAAUGCGUAGAUAUUAGGAGGAACACCAGUGGCGAAGGCGGCUUACUGGACUGUAACUGACGUUGAGGCUCGAAAGCGUGGGGAGCAAAC